AUGCGAUACUUGGUGUGAAUUGCAGAAUCCCGUGAACCAUCGAGUCUUUGAACGCAAGUUGCGCCCUACGCCUUCGGGCCGAGGGCACGUCUGCCUGGGUGUCACGCAUUGUAGCCAUCUCCUACACUCAUUCCCAGAUGGGCGCGGGUGUUAGUGUGCGGCUGAGAAUGGCCUCCCGUUCCCUUGUCGGUGCGGUUGGCCCAAAAAGAGGAGCCCAAAGGCGGCGUACGCCACGAUAAGCGGUGGUGUGUAUUCGUGCAUUCGUUGCAACGUCGUGGGCGUCGUCUCCUAACAAAGGGCUCUUCGUAGACCCCUGAUGCCAUCACUUGUGGUAGCACGCAUUGCGACCCCAGGUCAGGCGGGAACACCCGCUGAGUUUAAGCAUAUCAAUAAGCGGAGGAAAAGAAACUUACCAGGAUUCCCUUAGUAACGGCGAGCGAACCGGGAAGAGCCCAGCUUGAAAAUCGGUCGCCCUCGGCGUCCGAAUUGUAGUCUGGAGAAGCGUC
rnacentral:rRNA from 1 species